rnacentral:lncRNA from 1 species
UUUCUGGAAAUUUAAAACUAUUCUAAAAUAAAAAGUUUAUUUUUUUAAAAAGGCAAUCCCCUUUCUCUCUCCUCCCUCUUUCUCCUUUCCCUCUCUUUCCUCAUUUCUCCCUUUUCCUUCCUCCUCUUCCAUGGCGGAAGGCGAAGGGGAAGCUAACACAUCUUCACGCCGGAGAGAGAGAGAGAUAAGGGGGAAGUGCUACACACUUUCAACUGGACCACAGCUGAGUUCCCACGCACGCACUGUGGCACCCAAGAGUGUGGGCAGAGGCACUUCUGCUGAGUGGGAUGAAACAUCUUAAGUGCUCUGAGGGUUGAAACUUUGAAGAGGUUGAGAUCUGUGAGAGCUGAAGAACCUUUGAAUCUCCCUUCAGCUCUCCCUACCCCAACCACAGCCCUUCUCUUGAUGUAAAACAUGUGUUCAGAUAGAAAACAAAU